CAAGUAGCGUGCAGGAUGACGGCCCUAUGGGUUGUAAACUGCUUUUAUAAGGGAAUAAAGUGAGUCUCGUGAGACUUUUUGCAUGUACCUUAUGAAUAAGGACCGGCUAAUUCCGUGCCAGCAGCCGCGGUAAUACGGAAGGUCCGGGCGUUAUCCGGAUUUAUUGGGUUUAAAGGGAGCGUAGGCCGGAGAUUAAGCGUGUUGUGAAAUGUAGAUGCUCAACAUCUGCACUGCAGCGCGAACUGGUUUCCUUGAGUACGCACAAAGUGGGCGGAAUUCGUGGUGUAGCGGUGAAAUGCUUAGAUAUCACGAAGAACUCCGAUUGCGAAGGCAGCUCACUGGAGCGCAACUGACGCUGAAGCUCGAAAGUGCGGGUAUCGAACAGGAUUAGAUACCCUGGUAGUCCGCACGGUAAACGAUGGAUGCCCGCUGUUGGUCUGAAUAGGUCAGCGGCCAAGCGAAAGCAUUAAGCAUCCCACCUGGGGAGUACGCCGGCAACGGUGCAACUCAAAUGAAUU
rnacentral:rRNA from 1 species